CAAGACGACAUGGGGCGGGGGGGGGAGCGGGGAGAGCAAAGACAAGAGAAACAGAAUUGGCAGGGGCAGGAAAGUUCCGUUUAUAUACAAAACUGAAACCACAAGGAAUGUGCUUCAGCUGAUCAACAGUGAAGCUCUCCUGUUCAGCUAGAUUUCUGUAUUUUAAAUGUCCCAUGCCCCAACUCCUUGCAUUGUACCCAACCAAAGCAGCCUACAAAAGUAAGCUGGAAACACAAAGGAUCUGGACAGUCCAAUGGACAACACCUGGGCCCUAUUCAGACAUCAUGUUAUUCAUAUGUACAGGUGUCUGCGCACAGGUUCUUGUUUUUGUGUGAAUGAUUGUACAAGUCUUCACUCUUUAAAAGUGAACAUAGGUGCAGGCCCCCUCAAUUGCAGGGUCAGAUAAGAGUAAUACUGUUUGUGCAUUGAACAUAACAGAAUUGUUAUGUGCUUACAGAUCAAUCUGUACAUUCAUUUAAUGUACAUCGAACGUGUGUGAAUAGAGCUCUUGUAUGUUGUUGGUGUAGCAGUUGCAGCUGGCCUAGCCUAGUAUUUUGCAAUGGCCAAAUCAUGGGUCAUCUUGCUAUUGUGUCUUCUGGGGGUUAGUAAAGCUAUACCCCAUUCCUGUCAUGGAGGUGCAAAUGCAGUGGUUAAGUUCUAAACUGAGAAGGGGCUAAGUUCAAGUGUGCCUGCAGCUCAUUCUCCAUGCCAAGAAAGCCAUAAUACCCAAGACUUCAGCGACACUGGCAUCUCAUUUUAAAUAAAUUUACUUGGUCCAAUGGAUUUGAAUGGAACUUGCCUCUAAGAAAAAGGAAAAUAAUAGGCAGCUUUUGGACGAUAGACCCUGACCAAUGCACCUGCACAACAUGCCAGCUCAUGAUUCUGUGCUGCAGUUGUAUGAAAGAGCAUACAAAAAGUGCAUUUUUCUCAUGUUUCCACUUUGAUCUAUAGUAAAAGUUCUCCUUCAUCAGAACUCUAUUUUCUUCACCAGUAUUUUCCACCUUGCCUGUCAUUCUCUGAGGUAAUCCACUAGGGUGACCAAGGCAGUUUUUGUCCCAUAUCCAGGACAGAAGGCAGACUGAAAAGGAUCCAAGUAAUCAGUUUUAUCCAGGACUACUUGGAGCUAAGAUGCCACCAUGUGCUGCAAUACCUCACCAAUAUAUGGUACUUCCAUGCAUAAAGACAUAUAGCUCUGAAUACCAGGUGCUGGGGGAAAGAACAAGUAAUGGCUGUCACCUUAAUGCCCUGCUUUUGUGAGCUUCCAGAAGUGUCUAGCUGGCUACUAUUGAUACUGCAUUAGAUGGCCAUUGGUCUAAUUCCAAGGCAAUUCUUAUAUGUGUAUGAUGAACAGGUGUUCUGCUUGUAUACAUGCAGCAGUCCAAAGGCCUUUGCUAAAUGAAUAAAGAGGCACCUUUAAAA